rnacentral:rRNA from 1 species
UACGGAGGAUCCGAGCGUUAUCCGGAUUUAUUGGGUUUAAAGGCUGCUCAGGCGGGCCAUUAAGUCGGCGGUGAAAUUUUGCGGCUCAACCGUAAAAGUGCCUUCGAUACUGGUGGUCUUGAGUGUGGAUGAGGUAGGCGGAAUUUGUGGUGUAGCGGUGAAAUGCAUAGAUAUCACGAGGAACUCCGAUUGCUAAGGCAGCUUACUAAGCCAUAACUGACGCUCAAGCACGAAGGCGUGGGGAUCAAACAGGAUUAGAUACCCU